rnacentral:misc_RNA from 1 species
CUUGAACAGCUUGAGAUGGUAAUGGGUACGGCUCAAGAAGAUGGGAUUUCGCAUCUUUCUUCUGAUACUGUACAUUAUAAUCCCUCGGAUCUCUCUGGUUGGGUUCAGAGUAUGCUUUCUGAGCUUAAUCCUCCUAUGGGUCUUGAUGCCUCGGGUAUGAUUCAAAAUCAACGCGAUUCUGUUCUUGGUUCUUCCACAAUUACUUCCUCUAAUCCGCAAUCGCACCAAUCGAUAAUUUUUAGUGAUGACUCUGAAUACGAUCUUAGAGCAAUUCCUGGUGUGGCUGCUUACCCACGACCGGAUUCAGUAUCAGAGAGGGAAAAUAACAGGAAGAGAAUUAAAACCUCACCUGGGCCUGAUUCUGGUAACACUCUCACCUCCAAUUCAAAUUCUACGCCACCUCUAUUAGCUGCCUCUUCUUCUUCUUCUUCCUUUUCAUAUUCCUCACCUGCGUCAACAAUUACGGUUUCGGGUAAUUUAUCGGAGCCAAGUCGGCCGGUAGUCCUAAUUGACUCGCAAGAGACUGGAGUUCGUCUAGUGCACACGCUCUUGGCUUGUGCAGAAGCAGUUCAACAGGAGAAUCUUAAGCUUGCAGAGGCACUUGUGAAGCAUAUAGGCUUACUUGCUGCUUCUCAAGCCAGUGCUAUGAGAAAAGUGGCUACUUACUUCGCCGAGGCCUUAGCUCGUCGAAUUUACAAAAUCUACCCACAAAAAUGUCUCGAUCCUUCGUAUUCUGAUACGUUAGAGAUGCAUUUCUACGAGACCUGUCC